UCACAAUCGUGAGAUCAAGACCUGACUCCAGAUCAAGAAUCAGAGGCUCAACCUACUGAACCACCCAGACACGCCCAGAAAAGCUGAAUCUUGAACAGAGCCUUGAAGAAAGUGCACCCAGCAGCUAUCCUCAAGGCCUUGCAGAAAGCACAGUCCCACUUUGGGGCCCCCUCACUGCUUCUGACACAUUCAGAGCCGUGUGAGAUCACACAAAGCCAUCAGGAAUACCUGCAGUUUCCAACCUGGAGAACUGAAAACAUUCCCCAGCAUGCUGCCAGCGUGAAGAAGCUCUGUAAUUACAGACAUGCAGGGGUUUGUGUUCCUGACCUCACUCAUCGAUGAAACGCUUCCAUCCCCUUCACUUCCCACGGUGUCUUUAUCAAGGAAGCAGGAAGCUGGGCCCAUCAGAAAAGUUCGGCCUGAUGGAGAACACACGGGAGAGAAACAUGUGGCUCUGUAGAGCAAACCCACGCCACAAACAUCCAGGCCAACAGCACCACAAUUCCAUCCAGUAAAUUGUGCUCCCAUUGAGACAGAAGGAAAACAAUUUGACAUGGGCCCUGACUUUCAAGAUCCACACGGUCUGAGAUGGGAGACUAAAUCGAGUCUAACUGUCGAUACCAAUUCUGGACACUCGUGACCCACUCCUCAACUUCAGAUGCACUUCAUAGGCUCUUGGCUCUCAGCAACACAGAGAGUCUUAUUCUCAUCCCACAGAGGUGGAA